GGCAAUGCCAGUGGAACCACCCUGCUUGAAGCUCUGGAUUGCAUCCUGCCACCAACUCGCCCAACUGACAAACCCUUGCGUUUGCCUCUCCAGGAUGUCUACAAAAUUGGUGGUAUUGGUACUGUCCCUGUGGGUCGUGUGGAGACUGGUGUUCUCAAACCUGGCAUGGUGGUCACCUUUGCUCCAGUCAAUGUAACAACUUAAGUGAAGUCUGUAGAAAUGCACCAUGAAGCACUGAGUGAAGCCCUUCCUGGGGACAAUGUGGGCUUCAAUGUCAACAACGUGUCUGUCAAAGAUGUCCGUCGUGGCAAUGUGGCUGGAGACAGCAAAAAUGAUCCACCCAUGGAAGCUGCUGGCUUCACAGCUCAGGUGAUUAUUUUGAACCAUCCAGGCCAAAUCAGUGCUGGAUAUGCACCUGUGCUGGAUUGUCACACAGCUCACAUUGCUUGCAAGUUUGCUGAGCUGAAAAAGAUUGAUUGCCAUUCUGGGAAAAAGCUGCAAGAUGGCCCUAAAUUCUUGAAAUCUGGUGAUGCUGUCAUUGUUCAUAUGAUUCCUGGCAAGCCCAUGUGUCUUGAGAGCUUCUCUGACUCUCCUCCCCUGGGUCGUUUUGCUGUGUGUGACAUAAGACAGACUGUCACUGUGGGUGUCAUCAAAGCAGUGGACAAGAAGGCAGGUGGAGCUGGUAAGGUCACCAAGUCUGCCCAGAAAGCUCAGAAGGCUAAAUGAAUAUUAUCCCCCAAAUCUGCCACCCCAGUCUUAAUCAGUGGUAGAAGAACAGUCUCAGAACUGUCUCAAUUGGCCAUUUAAUAGUAAAAGACUGGCUAAUGAUAACAAUGCAUCAUAAAACCUUCAGAAGGAAAGGAGAAUGUUUUGUGGACCAUAUGUUUGGGUGUGGCAGUUUUAAGUUAUUUUUAAAAUCAGUACUUUUUAAUGAAAACAACUUGACCAAAA